rnacentral:tRNA from 1 species
GCCGGAGUGGCGGAAUGGCAGACGCGACGGAUUCAAAAUCCGUUGUCUUCACGGGCAUGAGGGUUCAAAUCCCUCCUCCGGCACCA